UCUGUGUGUGUUUCUACCCUUAGACUCUUAGCUGAAGAAGUGUCUUUAGAAUAAAUCUCUUGACAUUUAUUUUGGUCCUUCGUAGCCGGGGCAGAAACAUCAGAACUGUUAUCUGUGACUCUGUUCCAGGAUCCAGUACUGAUUCCUGACGCCGUGGGAAGCCAGCACCGAAGUCUGUGCACAGCCCUCUUAAACGAGGCCGAAAGCCCUGGGACGUGUGAAUUCGGGUCCAGGCCGGUGUUUUUAGUCUGGUCCACGGCGGUGGGAUUCAGUCUGGCGAUCCGAAUCACCAGUGAGACGUCUGAGGGUGAGAAACACUAUUUUGGUUAGGAAUCGCCGUAAUGAACCGACAAAUAAAAUAGGUUAGGAAUCGCCGUAAUGAACCGACAAAUGAAAUAGGUUAGGAAUCGCCGUAAUGAACCGAAUAACAAACAAAAUAGAAAGCAGCGUACAAUAGGUUAGGAUUCGCCGAAGGAACCGAAUUAGACCUAGGUUUUAGAGGUAGCCGUAAUUACUUCGUGACAAAUUAGCGCGCAAAUGUCUAUCUGUGUGUAUGUGUUUGGAAGUAAGUUGAUUUUACAGCACAAUACGCUGCUGAACUACUUCCAUUUUAUUUUAUUUUAUUUUGUUUUAUUUUGUUUUUCUUUGCUUGAGGCUCACGUACUGGUGACAAAAGAGAACGGUUGAGCUUCGUCUCAUAAAACUGAUACCGCUUCACUGUUAGAAGUGAAGUCGAAGGCCGUAUCAGAAACCACUCUGAAGUCAAGCGUGCCAGUGACGGCCCAGCAAAAUCUUUGAACAUGGAGAAUAAACAAGCAAAAU